GAAAGUGAGAGAGUGCAUGGAAAAAGAAAUUGCUCCUAUAAUGACAAAGUACUGGGAAAAAGCAGAGUUUCCGUUUGAAGUUAUUCCGAAACUUGGUGCUUUGAACAUAUCUGGUGGCACUAUAAAGGGGUAUGGUUGUCCAGGUUUAUCAGUAACUGGAAGUGCCAUUGCUCUAGCAGAAAUUGCCAGAGUAGAUGCAAGCUGCUGUACAUUCAUUUUGGUGCAUUCAUCUUUGGCAAUGCUCACUAUUGGACUAUUGGGAUCAGAAAUGCAAAGGCAAAAAUACUUACCAUCUCUGGCUGAUCUUAGCAGUAUAUCUUGUUGGGGUCUAACUGAGCCAGACUAUGGAAGCGAUGCAAGUGCUUUGAGGACCACUGCCACAAAGGUUGAAGGAGGUUGGAUCCU
rnacentral:misc_RNA from 1 species